GCCGGGCUACACUGGGAGGAGAACAUAGGAGGCUGGGGGCAGUGGCCUGAUCGCUUCGGAGGUGGGGUGGACCGCCGCUGCGAUGGGCAUCUUUUUGAAAUAGCAGUUCCUCAACUCGCCUCUCCUCCUGGUCAUAGAGAGUCUUCCACUCCUACAUGGAGUGAGCUCCACCCCUACCAAGAAUCUCCCCAAAUAGCAUCAAUCUUGGAGAAAGAUGACCUCAUCACAGCUAAAGAAAGCAUCUCCUAUGAAGCUCCCCCUGUGAAUACAAGGCUAAGACCCUCACAAUCUCGUUGGCGUUGGAAGUUGACGUUCUAGAGCAAUGUAGUAGAGACAUCCCUGGUAGCGCAAUGGUUAGGAAUCCGCCUGCCAACGCAGGGCACACAGGUUCAAUCCCUGGUCUGGGAGGAUCCCACGUGGCGUGGAGCAACUAAGCCCGCGAGCCACAACUACUGAGCCCUUGUGCCACAACUACUGAAGCCCGCGCACCAGAAGCCCCUACUCCGCAACAAGAGAAGCCACAGAAACGAGAAGCCCACACACGGCAACUAGAGAAAGCACCCCCUG